rfam:Photobacterium damselae subsp. damselae CIP 102761 Contig58, whole genome shotgun sequence.
GGAGUUGGCUGGGUAAUCGCUGCUUUGUUGCCGUCCUUCAGGAGACUGACAUUGAGGUCCGCAAGGAAACUGAUGUUGAAGUCCGAUGGGAGACGAACAAAGGGGAGGAAAGUCCGGGCUCCAUAGGGCAGGGUGCCAGAUAACGUCUGGGGGGCGUGAGCCUACGACCAGUGCAGCAGAGAGUAAACCGCCGAUGGCCUUUUUAGGUACAGGUAAGGGUGAAAGGGUGCGGUAAGAGCGCACCGCGCGUCUAGUAAUAGUUCGUGGCACGGUAAACUCCACCCGGAGCAAGACCAAAUAGGUCCCUACAUAGCGCGGCCCGCGUUUGGGGACGGGUAGGUUGCUUGAGCCUGUGAGCAAUUGCAGGCCUAGAUGAAUGAUUACCACUGCGUAAGCAGAACAGAACCCGGCUCAUAGGCCGACUCCCUUC